UGGAGAAUAUUGCACAAUGGGCGAAAGCCUGAUGCAGCGACGCCGCGUGAGGGAUGACGGCCUUCGGGUUGUAAACCUCUUUCAGCAGGGAAGAAGCGAAAGUGACGGUACCUGCAGAAGAAGCGCCGGCUAACUACGUGCCAGCAGCCGCGGUAAUACGUAGGGCGCAAGCGUUGUCCGGAAUUAUUGGGCGUAAAGAGCUCGUAGGCGGCUUGUCACGUCGGAUGUGAAAGCCCGAGGCUUAACCUCGGGUCUGCAUUCGAUACGGGCUAGCUAGAGUGUGGUAGGGGAGAUCGGAAUUCCUGGUGUAGCGGUGAAAUGCGCAGAUAUCAGGAGGAACACCGGUGGCGAAGGCGGAUCUCUGGGCCAUUACUGACGCUGAGGAGCGAAAGCGUGGGGAGCGAACAGG
rnacentral:rRNA from 1 species